GACGAACGCUGGCGGCGUGCUUAACACAUGCAAGUCGAACGGACAGACAGAGAGCUUGCUCUCUUGAAGUUAGUGGCGAACGGGUGAGUAACGCGUAAUCAACCUGCCCUUCAGAGGGGGAUAACAACGGGAAACCGUUGCUAAUACCGCGUACGAUUCAUGAACGGCAUCGUUUAUGAAUGAAAGGUGGCCUCUAUGUAUAAGCUAUCGCUGACGGAGGGGCGUGCGGCUGAUUAGCUAGGUGGAGGGGUAACGGCCCACCAAGGCAAUGAUCAGUAGCCGGUCUGAGAGGAUGAACGGCCACAUUGGGACUGAGACACGGCCCAAACUCCUACGGGAGGCAGCAGUGGGGAAUCUUCCGCAAUGGACGAAAGUCUGACGGAGCAACGCCGCGUGAGUGAUGAUGGUCUUCGGAUUGUAAAGCUCUGUUAAUCGGGACGAAAGAGUUCUGCGUGAAUAAUGCAGAAAAGUGACGGUACCGGAAUAGAAAGCCACGGCUAACUACGUGCCAGCCGCCGCCGUAA
rnacentral:rRNA from 1 species